AAUUGGUCAUAAAAAAGGUGUCUGAUUUUGCUAUUUACAAAUGCUAUGGAAGUGCACGUGCUUUGUGCUUUAAGAAUUUAUUCCUACUCAAGUAGGGGCGAUUUCCAGUGUUUUAACAUCUGGCGGAAUGGGGCGAGUUAGAACUAAGACUGUUAAGAAGGCCUCAAAGGUUAUUAUUGAGAAAUACUACACACGAUUAACUUUAGAUUUUCAUGUAAACAAACGCGUGUGUGAAGGAAUUGCUGACAUUCCUUCUAAAAAACUUCGAAAUAAGAUCGCUGGUUUUGUGACUCAUCUAAUGAAGAGAAUCGAAAAAGGCGCCGUACGAGGGAUUUCUAUUAAACUUCAAGAAGAAGAACGUGAAAGACGGGAUAACUACGUUCCAUCUGUUUCUGCCAUGUCUCCCGCCACCGGCCCGAUAAAUAUUGAUGAGACAACUGCAGACAUGUUGAAGUUUAUAAAUUUCGGUCAAAUUAAGGGCGUUCGUGUUAACACGCAGGAAAUUAAAACGCGCGGUUAUCGAAGUUAAUGUUACUAGGCUUAUAAUAAAUUUACUCUAAUUUA